rnacentral:rRNA from 1 species
CAGUCGCCACGGUAAUACGUAGGGUGCGGGCGUUAAUCGGAAUUACUGGGCGUAAAGCGUGCGCAGGCGGUUAUAUAAGACAGAUGUGAAAUCCCCGGGCUCAACCUGGGACCUGCAUUUGUGACUGUAUAGCUAGAGUACGGUAGAGUGGGAUGGAAUUCCGCGUGUAGCAGUGAAAUGCGUAGAUAUGCGGAGGAACACCGAUGGCGAAGGCAAUCCCCUGGACCUGUACUGACGCUCAUGCACGAAAGCGUGGGGAGCAAACAGGAUUAGAUACCCCCGUAGUCCCUGUCUCUUAUAC